rnacentral:rRNA from 1 species
UACGUAGGAUCCAAGCGUUGUCCCGAUUUACUGGGUGUAAAGGGUGCGUAGGCGGGUCUUUAAGUCAGGGGUGAAAUCCUGGAGCUCAACUCCAGAACUGCCUUUGAUACUGAGGAUCUUGAGUUCGGGAGAGGUGAGUGGAACUGCGAGUGUAGAGGUGAAAUUCGUAGAUAUUCGCAAGAACACCAGUGGCGAAGGCGGCUCACUGGCCCGAUACUGACGCUGAGGCACGAAAGCGUGGGGAGCAAACAGG